GACGAACGCUGGCGGCGUGCUUAACACAUGCAAGUCGAACGGAAAGGCCCUGCUUUUGUGGGGUGCUCGAGUGGCGAACGGGUGAGUAACACGUGAGUAACCUGCCCUUGACUUUGGGAUAACUUCAGGAAACUGGGGCUAAUACCGGAUAGGAGCUCCUGCUGCAUGGUGGGGGUUGGAAAGUUUCGGCGGUUGGGGAUGGACUCGCGGCUAUCAGCUUGUUGGCGGGGUAGUGGCUUACCAAGGCUUUGACGGGUAGCCGGCCUGAGAGGGUGACCGGCCACAUUGGGACUGAGAUACGGCCCAGACUCCUACGGGAGGCAGCAGUGGGGAAUAUUGCACAAUGGGCGGAAGCCUGAUGCAGCAACGCCGCGUGCGGGAUGACGGCCUUCGGGUUGUAAACCGCUUUCGCCUGUGACGAAGCGUGAGUGACGGUAAUGGGUAAAGAAGCACCGGCUAACUACGUG
rnacentral:rRNA from 1 species